GAUGAACGCUGGCGGCGUGCCUAAUACAUGCAAGUCGAGCGAACGGACGAGAAGCUUGCUUCUCUGAUGUUAGCGGCGGACGGGUGAGUAACACGUGGAUAACCUACCUAUAAGACUGGGAUAACUUCGGGAAACCGGAGCUAAUACCGGAUAAUAUUUUGAACCGCAUGGUUCAAAAGUGAAAGACGGUCUUGCUGUCACUUAUAGAUGGAUCCGCGCUGCAUUAGCUAGUUGGUAAGGUAACGGCUUACCAAGGCAACGAUGCAUAGCCGACCUGAGAGGGUGAUCGGCCACACUGGAACUGAGACACGGUCCAGACCCCUACGGGAGGCAGCAGUAGGGAAUCUCCCGCAAUGGGCGAAAGCCUGACGGAGCAACGCCGCGUGAGUGAUGAAGGUCUUCGGACCGUAAAACUCUGUUAUUAGGGAAGAACAUAUGUGUAAGUAACUGUGCACAUCUUGACGGUACCUAAUCAGAAAGCCACGGCUAACUACGUG
rnacentral:rRNA from 1 species